UGCAACCUCUCAACUUCUGUCUUCUCAAUAUAUAUAUACGACCAAUGUUUCUUCAUUCCCACGCAUACAUUCCACUAGUGAAAGAAUAUACCAGAGAUCAUAGAUAAUGUCGUUGUUUUCCGCCCCAUCUUCAAGUCCGUCAUUUAGUAGUAGCAAUCUGUUUGGAAAUAGAGCAUUUGGAGCAACCUCAUCAGCUUCAUCAUCGGCAUCAUCAGUAUUUGCUCAACCUAUUGGAAG